rnacentral:misc_RNA from 1 species
ACACCUCAACUCUUAUGGUUUUCCAUGAAGAGCUUGGACUUUGGGGGUUUUGCUGGCCUGAGGUCGGCUCCUCUCAAAUGAAUCAGCUUGCCAGUGUUUGGUGGCAUCAUGGGUGUGAUAACUAUCUACGCUUGUGGUUGUCUGCCAGGUGACCUUCAGUGAUGGAGGUCCGCUGGAGCUCACAAAUGUCUUCCCUGAGCAAAGACAGUUUUUUGAAC